rnacentral:misc_RNA from 1 species
UCUCCGUAGGUGAACCUGCGGAGGGAUCAUUACAGAGUUCAUGCCCUACCGGGUAGAUCUCCCACCCUAUGUUAUUAUUACUUUGUUGCUUUGGCGGGCCGUUAGGCUCCGGCCCGACUACCGGCCCCGGCUGGUAAGCGCCCGCCAGAGGACCCAAAACCCUGAUUAUUAGUGUCGUCUGAGUACUAUAUAAUAGUUAAAACUUUCAACAACGGAUCUCUUGGUUCUG